GAAGAUUCCGGACUGUGGCUCGCGUGCU
rnacentral:rRNA from 3 species